GGCUGUCGUGGCCUAGUGGAUCAGGUGAUGGACUGGAAAUCCAAAGAUCGCUGGUUCAAUCCCCAGUUUCACUGGGAGUCG